UAACAGGAAGUGUAAUUCACAAGGAGGGACGUGUGUCUCUAAGUAUAGAAUGUGCCCCUUUCCCAAACAACCAGUCAAACACCUCUGUGACGGCAAGAAGAUAUGCUGCUUACCUGAUGAAGAUAUCAAGUGUACAAAGCAAGGGGGUAUCUGUCAGCAGAUGACUAAGAAAUGCGGUCGUUCCUACGUCAGGUUUCUUUGUGGGGGUCGGUCCAGACAAUGCUGUUUACCAAAUGCUGCUGCACCUUGUACUGCAAAAGGUGGGAAAUGCAUAAAAUCAUGGAAAAAGUGUAAGGGGAAAAAAGUAGGGGGAUUGUGAGGAUACAAGAACAGAAAAUGUUGCAUACCACGCAAAUAUUGUCAUAAAGGCUCAGGAAAUACUAGCGACACAUGUUGCAAAAUACCAGGAUUCUAUCAUAUGCCAUAAUACUAGUGAAUUAUGAUGUUCUUUUGAGCUCCAAUAAAUAAUAUAUUACACA